rnacentral:rRNA from 1 species
UCCUACGGGAGGCAGCAGUAGGGAAUCUUCCACAAUGGGCGAAAGCGUGAUGGAGCAACGCCGCGUGGGUGAAGAAGGUCUUCGGAUCGUAAAACCCUGUUGUUAGAGAAGAAAGUGCGUGAGAGUAACUGUUCACGUUUCGACGGUAUCUAACCAGAAAGCCACGGCUAACUACGUGCCAGCAGCCGCGGUAAUACGUAGGUGGCAAGCGUUAUCCGGAUUUAUUGGGCGUAAAGGGAACGCAGGCGGUCGUUUAAGUCUGAUGUGAAAGCCUUCGGCUUACCCGGCUUAG